AUGAAUGCCCUGGCUCUGAACUGUCGGGGAUGCGGACGGCCCGAGACAGUUCAAGAAAUUCGCAACAUGAUUCAGUUGCAUCUUCCGAGUUUGGUCUUUCUCUCGGAGACCAAACUGUCUGCUACGAGAGCGCAAGACUUGAGGUUUAGAUUGGGGUUCAGACACACGUUUGGUGUUAAAACUGAGGGACUCGGUGGAGGACUUGUCCUG
rnacentral:rRNA from 1 species